CCUACGGGAGGCAGCAGUGGGGAAUAUUGGACAAUGGGGGAAAGCCUGAUCCAGCCAUGCCGCGUGUGUGAAGAAGGUCUUCGGAUUGUAAAGCACUUUAAGUUGGGAGGAAGGGCAGUAAGUUAAUACCUUGGUGAGUGACGUACCGACAGA
rnacentral:rRNA from 2 species